CGCUGGUGGAAUUCUUGGCGCCAGUAUCGUGGAAGACGACACCGACGACAGCGAUUCUGAUUGUGAU
rnacentral:rRNA from 1 species